ensembl:lncRNA
GACGUGAAUCUGGGUCUUCCUUUCCUGUGGCGGUCCUCAUGAGAGCGCUCAUCAUAGUGCUUGAUGGUUUUUGCGACAGACCGUAUACACUUUUCUUAUUUGAGCUGUUCUUGCCACCAUAUGGACUUGGUAUUUUGCCAAUUAGGGCUAUCUUUUGAAUACCACCCCUACCUUGUCACAACACAACUGAUUGGCUCACACGCCGAAAAGAUGGCUGACGUUUUACAUGCCCGUAACCAAUUAUACAAUUUUUUUUUUUUUUUUUGCAUUUGUAACUUAUUUUUUAACUUAUUUUGUACAUAAUGUUACUUCUACCAUCUCUUAUGACCAAAAAAUAACUUCUGGACAUCAGAACUGGGAUUACCCACCACGAACUGGAAGAAGCUUUUUCCUUUAACAAGUCACACAAGAAAGAUAUACUGCUCUUCCGGGAACAGGCCCAUUUCCCCAUCAUUUGCGUGAAGAAAAGACGGAAAAGAGGACGCAUAACGGGGUGCCUUUUAAGAAUCUGUAGGGAAGCGAGUAAACUUCCACUGCGAUCAAUUCUAUUUGCUGGCAUGCAAUCAUUGGAAAAUAAAAUUGAUGUCCUACGAUUAUCCUACCGACAGGACAUUAAGAACUGUAAUAUCUUAUGUUUCACCAAGUCGUGGCUGAACGACAACACAGAUAAUAUAGAGCUGGAGGGAUUUUCAAUGCACUGGCAGAUCAGAGAAGCUAUGUCUGGUAAGACUAGGGGUGGUGGUGUGUGUCUUUUUGUCAAUAACAGCUGGUGCGUGAUGUCUAAUAUUAAAGAAGUCUCGAGGUAUUGCUCGCCUGAGGUAGAAUACCUUAUGAUAAGCUGUAGACCACACUAUCUACCAAGAGAUUUCUCAUCUAUAUUAUUCGUAGCCGUCUAUUUACCACCACAGACCGAUGCUGGCACUAAGACCGCAAAAAAACAACUCUAUAAGGCCAUAAGCAAACAAGAAAAUGCUCACCCAGAAGCGACGCUCCUAGAGGCCAGGGACUUUAAUGUAGGCAAACAAAUCAGUUUGGCCAAACUUUUACCAGCAUGUCACAUGUGCAACCAGAGGGAAAAAAACUCUAGACCACCUUUACUUCACACACAGAGGUGCGUACAAAGCUCUCCCCCGCCCUCCAUUUGGCAAAUUUGACCAUAAUUAUAUCCUCCUGAUUAUAUCCUCCCGAUUCCUGCUUACAAGCAAAAACUAAAGCAGGAUGUACCAGUGACUAGAUCAAUACGGAAGUGGUCAGGUGAAGUGGAUGCUACGCUUACAGGACUGUUUUGUUAGCACAGACUAGAAUAUGUUCCAGGAUUCAUCCAAUGGCAUUGAGGAGUAUACCACCUCAGUCAUCAGCUUCAUCAAUAAGUGCAUCAACGACUUUGUCACCACAGUGACUGUACGUACAUAUCCCAACCAGAAGCCAUGGAUUACAGGCAACAUCUGAAUUGAGCUGCAGCUUUCAAGGAGCG